GACACGGCCAACGUGGGGUCCCUUCUAGGCUGACAGCCGCUCUCCAGCCACUGCCGCGAGCCCGUCUGCUCCCGCCCUGCCCGUGCACUCUCCGCAGCCGCCCUCCGCCGAGCCCCAGCGCCCGCUCCCAUCGCCGAUGACCGCGGGGAGGAGGAUGGAGAUGCUCUGUGCCGGCAGGGUCCCUGCGCUGCUGCUCUGCCUGGGUUUCCAUCUUCUACAGGCAGUCCUCAGUACAACUGUGAUUCCAUCAUGUAUCCCAGGAGAGUCCAGUGAUAACUGUACAGCUUUAGUUCAGACAGAAGACAAUCCACGUGUGGCUCAAGUGUCAAUAACAAAGUGUAGCUCUGACAUGAAUGGCUACUGUUUGCAUGGACAGUGCAUCUACCUGGUGGACAUGAGUCAAAACUACUGCAGGUAAUAUGUCAGAAAUAAACAAACACAGUUUGUAAAAUUUUGUUUUAUAGAUUUAGGGGUACAAGUGCAGAUUUGCUAGUGGAUAAAUUCAGUAGUGGUGAAGUCUGAGCUUUUAGAGUACCUACCCCUCAAAUAGUGUGCAUGGAACCCAUUAGGUAAUUUUUCAUCCCUUAACCCCCCCAAAACUCUUCUACCUUUUGAAGUCUCCAGAGUCUAUUACUCCACUCUCUAUGACCAUGUGUACACAUUAUUUAGCUCCCACUUGUGAGAACAUGUGAUAAACAAAUGCAGUUUUACUCUUUGUAUUUCUAUUUUUAUAUUUUGAAAUUACCCUAUAUUUCCAUGGGCUGUUAAAUGCAGUAUAUAUAUUAUUAGAAACUUUUCUGAGUUUUUAAAAAUUAGGUAGUAAAUAGUAGCUUUUAAAUUGCACACAUAUGUCAGAGGUGCAGAGCAGGGAGGGCUUCUGAUGCUUCUCACACUUGCCAAGAUGGUGUCUCUCUGCUUUGGAUCUUUUCCUUCAAUUUCUAUAUCAGGUAUUGUUUUAAGAAUUGAUUCCAGGCCGGGCGCGUUGGCUCAUGCCUGUGAUCCCAGCACUUUGGGAGGCCGAGGCGGGCGGAUCACGGGGUCAGGAGAUCAAGACCAUCCUGGCGAACACGGUGAAACCCCGUCUCUACUAAAAAUACAAAAAAAAAAAAAAAAAAAAAAAAAAAUUAGCCAGGGGUAGUGGCGGGCGCCUGUAGUCCCAGCUACUCGGGAGGCUGAGGCAGGAGAAUGGCAUGAACCCGGGGGGUGGAGCUUGCAGUGAGCGGAGAUCAUGCCACUGUACUCCAGCCUGGGCAACACAGCGAGACUCCGUCUCAAAAAAAAAAAAAAAAAGAA
rnacentral:sRNA from 1 species